rnacentral:rRNA from 1 species
GUGCAGCAGGCGAGAAACUUUACAAUGUGCGAAAGCACGAUAAGGGAACUCUGAGUGCCUCCUAAGGAGGCUGUUCAGGUGUCUAAAAGCACCUGAAGGAAGGGCUGGGUAAGACCGGUGCCAGCCGCCGCGGUAACACCGGCAGCCCAAGUGGUAGCCACGUUUAUUGGGUCUAAAGCGUCCGUAGCCGGCUGGGUAAGUUCCUUGGGAAAUUUGGCUGCUUAACAGUCAAGCCUUCAGGGAAUACUGCCCGGCUUGGGACCGGGAGAGGUCAGAGGUACUCCAGGGGUAGGGGUGAAAUCCAUUAAUCCUUGGGGGACCACCGGUAGCGAAGGCGUCUGACCAGACCGGGUCCGACGGUGAGGGACGAAGGCUAGGGGCGCGAACCGGAUUAGAUACCCGUGUAGU